rnacentral:rRNA from 1 species
GACGAACGCUGGCGGCGUGCUUAACACAUGCCAGUCGAACGGAAAGGCCCUGCUUUUGUGGGGUGCUCGAUUGGCGCACGGGUGAGUAACACGUGUGUAACCUGCCCUUGACUUUGGGAUAACUUCAGGAAACUGGGGCGAAUACCGGAUAGGAGCUCCUGCUGCGUGGGGGGGGUUGGAAAGUUUCGGCGGUUGGGGAUGGACUCGCGGCUUAUCGGCUUGUUGGUGGGGUAGGGACAUACCAAGGCUUUGACGGGUAGGCGGCCUGGGAGGGGGACCGGGCACAUUACGACUGAGCUACGACCCAGACGCGAAUCGGAGGCAACGGUGGAGAGUAUAACACAGUGGGGGGGAGCCAGGUGCGACAACGCCGCGUGCGGGAAGACGUGAUGCGGGUUGUGAACCGAUGUCGCCUGAGCCGAGGAGAGAGUGACGGUAACGGGUCAAGAAGCCCCGGCUAACUACGUG